rfam:Lactococcus garvieae Lg2 DNA, complete genome.
AAAACUUUUAAACUGGUCCAGAGAGGCUAGCAAGGUUGUGAACAUGAAUAUUAAAUCCUUUUGAACCAAAAGGGAAUACUCUAUCUUCUUUGCACUUGCUGUUUCUGGCAGGUGCUUUUUUCUU